rnacentral:rRNA from 1 species
AGAGUUUGAUCAUGGCUCAGAACGUACGCUGGCGGCACGCCUAACACAUGCAAGUCGAACGAAGUAGCAAUACUUAGUGGCAGACGGGUGAGUAACAUGUGGGUAUCUGCCCUUUGGCCUGGAAUAACACGAGGAAACUUGUGCUAAUACCGGAUAAGUCUUUACGGAGAAAGCUUUAUGCACCAUUGGAUGAGCCCGCACUUGAUUAGUUUGUUGGUAGGGUAAUGGCCUACCAAGACUGUGAUCAAUAGCUGAUUUGAGAGGAUGAUCAGCCACAUUGGGACUGAGACACGGCCCAAACUCCUACGGGAGGCAGCAGUGGGGAAUCUUGCACAAUGGAGGAAACUCUGAUGCAGCGAUGCCGCGUGAGUGAAGAAGGCCUUUGGGUUGUAAAGCUCUUUCGUCGGGGAAGAAAAUGACUGUACCCGAAUAAGAAGGUCCGGCUAACUUCGUGCCAGCAGCCGCGGUAAUACGAAGGGACCUAGCGUAGUUCGGAAUUACUGGGCUUAAAGAGUUCGUAGGUGGUUGAAAAAGUUGGUGGUGAAAUCCCAGAGCUUAACUCUGGAACUGCCAUCAAAACUUUUCAGCUAGAGUUUGAUAGAGGAAAGCAGAAUUUCUAGUGUAGAGGUGAAAUUCGUAGAUAUUAGAAAGAAUACCAAUUGCGAAGGCAGCUUUCUGGAUCAUUACUGACACUGAGGAACGAAAGCAUGGGUAGCGAAGAGGAUUAGAUACCCUCGUAGUCCAUGCCGUAAACGAUGUGUGUUAGACGUUGGAAAUUUAUUUUCAGUGUCGCAGCGAAAGCGAUAAACACACCGCCUGGGGAGUACGACCGCAAGGUUAAAACUCAAAUGAAUUGACGGGGACCCGCACAAGUAGUGGAGCAUGUGGUUUAAUUCGAAGAUACGCGCAGAACCUUACCAACACUUGACAUGUUCGUCGCGACUUUAAGAGAUUAAAGUUUUCGGUUCGGCCGGACGAAACACAGGUGCUGCAUGGCUGUCGUCAGCUCGUGUCGUGAGAUGUUGGGUUAAGUCCCGCAACGAGCGCAACCCUCACUUUUAGUUGCCAUCAUUAAGUUGGGCACUCUGAAAGAACUGCCAGUGAUAAGCUGGAGGAAGGUGGGGAUGACGUCAAGUCCUCAUGGCCCUUACGUGUUGGGCUACACACGUGCUACAAUGGUAUCUACAACAGGAAGCAAAACAGCGAUGUUAAGCAAAUCCUUAAAAGAUACCUCAGUUCGGAUUGCACUCUGCAACUCGAGUGCAUGAAGCUGGAAUUACUAGUAAUCGUGGAUCAGCGUGCCACGGUGAAUGCGUUCCCGGGUCUUGUACACACCGCCCGUCACACCAUGGGAGUUGGUUCUACCUUAAGGCAAGGUUUUAAACCCUUGACCACGGUAUAGUCAGCGACUGGGGUGAAGUCGUAACAAGGUAGCCGUAGGGGAACCUGCGGCUG